rnacentral:rRNA from 1 species
UAGGUAGGUGGUCUCAUUUGUCCGGGGUGAAAUCCUUGAGCUUAACUCAAGAAGUGCCCCGGAAACGGUGAGACUCGAGUACUGGAGAGGGUCGUGGAAUUCCCGGUGUAGCGGUGAAAUGCGUAGAGAUCGGGAGGAACACCAGAGGCGAAGGCGGCGACCUGGACAGUUACUGACACUCAACUACGAAAGCGUGGGGAGCAAACAGGAUUAGAUACCCUGGUAGUCCACGCCGUAAACGAUGGGUACUAGGCUUGGCGGGUCUUGACCCCUGCCGAGCCGGCGCUAACGCAAUAAGUACCCCGCCUGGGAAGUACGGUCGCAAGACUAAA